UGCCCCUUAUGAUUUGGGCUACACACGUGCUACAAUGGACAAUACAAAGGGCAGCGAAACUGCGAGGUCAAGCAAAUCCCAUAAAGUUGUUCUCAGUUCGGAUUGUAGUCUGCAACUCGACUAUAUGAAGCUGGAAUCGCUAGUAAUCGUAGAUCAGCAUGCUACGGUGAAUACGUUCCCGGGUCUUGUACACACCGCCCGUCACACCACGAGAGUUUGUAACACCCGAAGCCGGUGGAGUAACCAUUUGGAGCUAGCCGUCGAAGGUGGGACAAAUGAUUGGGGUGAAGUCGUAACAAGGUAGCCGUAUCGGAAGGUGCGGCUGGAUCACCUCCUUUCUAAGGA
rnacentral:rRNA from 1 species